rnacentral:rRNA from 1 species
GCAAGUCGAGCGGUAAGGCCCUUCGGGGUACACGAGCGGCGAACGGGUGAGUAACACGUGGGUGAUCUGCCUCGUACUCUGGGAUAAGCCUGGGAAACUGGGUCUAAUACCGGAUAUGACCACGAGUCGCAUGGUUUGUGGUGGAAAGAUUUAUCGGUGCGAGAUGGGCCCGCGGCCUAUCAGCUUGUUGGUGGGGUAAUGGCCUACCAAGGCGACGACGGGUAGCCGGCCUGAGAGGGCGACCGGCCACACUGGGACUGAGACACGGCCCAGACUCCUACGGGAGGCAGCAGUGGGGAAUAUUGCACAAUGGGCGGAAGCCUGAUGCAGCGACGCCGCGUGCGGGAUGACGGCCUUCGGGUUGUAAACCGCUUUCGACAGGGACGAAGCGUGAGUGACGGUACCUGUAGAAGAAGCACCGGCCAACUACGUGCC